rnacentral:lncRNA from 1 species
GGAGGAGAGAGGUGUAGUGAUUGGGAGGGAGGAUGAUGGGGUCUUCUGAGUUGCUGGUGAUAUUUUGCUUCUUGAUCCUGGUGGUGGUCCCAGAGGUGAGUUCACUUUGUGAUAAUUACUGAGCUGUAUAUUUAAGAUUUGCCUAGGUUUCUGCAUGUGUAUUAUUCUUUGAUUUUGAGAGAAUGAAAAUUACAUAAAAGAUACAGGUAUUUCCCAUUUUAUUACACAGAUGAAAUUUAUGAGAAAUCAUUACAUCUGUUCAUUACAAUGAAAUCAAAUAAGUUGGCUUUUAUGAAAUAGUUGAAAGGUUUUUUCCAACCUCAUUUUUGUACAAAGUUUAGACAAGCUUUUUGGCAUGUGUCAGAAUAGUAAUAGUUCAAAAAUUUCAAAGCAAAUUUGAGUCAGUUCCCUUCUAUUAGUGCAAAAUACUCUUUUGACUUUUUAAUUUAUUUAAUUACUUAUUCUUUUAUUCAAUAACCGUUUCUGAGUGUCUAGUAAUGGUUUACACCUUGUGCUUAUGCAGAGAGAGUAAAUAAUGAAAAAAUCCAUGUCACAAGGCAUUUCCCUUUGAAGCAAACCCAAGAAAAUGGAAUUCAGCCUGAUUCCUCUUGUAAGAGAAACAGAGUCUCCGGGAGCCUAUGGACCCUUGGACUCCUCCACUCAAAUAAAGGAUAUUUGGAGAUCUGGUUUGCUUGAAAACAAUGAAACAGACAGAGUCGCCUGAAGGCAACUCACUGAGAACUGGGAGGUCCUCGCAGCACAAUUAAACUGGCAACAAAUCAAUAGAAACAGAAGAGAAGAGGAAAGAAAACAAUAAUUAAAACAUUCUGUCAAAAAAUAGAACAGUAAUUAAAGAUGCAAACUAUUGUUUUGCCCCACUAAUUUCAUUUUAAUUUUCAAUAGAUUGCUGAAGACCAUAAAAAGACUUUGCCUUUCACAACAUUCUGGUGUUCCUUGCUAGGUUGAUAGCACUGUGAUUGUGUCACAACUGAAUGGCAGGUAUUUUCACCAAGGGACGAUGGGGCAAAGAGUAAAAUGUUGUCCUGCUUGUUAUAUAAUGUAAAUAAAGCCCUUUACACGAUCA